GAAUCUUGGACAAUGGGCGCAAGCCUGAUCCAGCCAUGCCGCGUGAGUGAAGAAGGCCUUAGGGUUGUAAAGCUCUUUUGCCAGGGACGAUAAUGACGGUACCUGGAGAAUAAGCCCCGGCAAACUUCGUGCCAGCAGCCGCGGUAAUACGAAGGGGGCUAGCGUUGUUCGGAAUGACUGGGCGUAAAGCGCACGUAGGCGGGUUGUUAAGUCAGGGGUGAAAUCCCGGAGCUCAACUCCGGAACUGCCUUUGAUACUGGCAACCUAGAGGCUGGAAGAGGUUAGUGGAAUUCCCAGUGUAGAGGUGAAAUUCGUAGAUAUUGGGAAGAACACCAGUGGCGAAGGCGGCUAACUGGUCCAGUACUGACGCUGAGGUGCGAAAGCGUGGGGAGCAAACAGG
rnacentral:rRNA from 1 species